rnacentral:rRNA from 1 species
AACGAACGCUGGCGGCAUGCCUCAUACAUGCAAGUCGAACGCAGGCUUCGGCCUGAGUGGCGCACGGGUGAGUAGCGCGUGGGAACCUACCCUUUUGUGGGGGAUAACCGAGGGAAACUUCGGCUAAUCCCGCAUACGCCGGGAAACCGGGAAAGACUUACCGCAGAAGGAUGGGCCCGCGUCGGAUUAGCUAGUUGGUG